CCUACGGGUGGCAGCAGUGGGGGAUAUUGCACAAUGGGGGAAACCCUGAUGCAGCGACGCCGCGUGGGUGAAGAAGUAUUUCGGUAUGUAAAGCCCUAUCAGCAGGGAAGAAAGAAGACGGUACCUGACUAAGAAGCCCCGGCUAACUACGUGCCAGCAGCCGCGGUAAUACGUAGGGGGCGAGCGUUAUCCGGAUUCACUGGGUGUAAAGGGAGCGUAGACGGCCGUGCAAGCCAGGAGUGAAAGCCCGGGGCCCAACCCCGGGACUGCUCUUGGAACUGUGCGGCUGGAGUGCGGGAGGGGCAGGCGGAAUUCCUGGUGUAGCGGUGAAAUGCGUAGAUAUCAGGAGGAACACCGGCGGCGAAGGCGGCCUGCUGGACCGCGACUGACGUUGAGGCUCGAAAGCGUGGGGAGCGAACAGGAUUAGAUACCCCAGGAGUC
rnacentral:rRNA from 1 species